CCCUUCCUACGGGGGGCAGCAGUGAGGAAUAUUGGUCAAUGGGCGGGAGCCUGAACCAGCCAAGCCGCGUGAGGGAAGAAGGUACAGCGUAUCGUAAACCUCUUUUGUCAGGGAACAAAGGCGGGGACUAGUCCCCGGAUGAGGGUACCUGAAGAAAAAGCAUCGGCUAACUCCGUGCCAGCAGCCGCGGUAAUACGGAGGAUGCGAGCGUUAUCCGGAUUUAUUGGGUUUAAAGGGUGCGCAGGCGGCCAUGCAAGCCAGGGGUUAAAGCCCGGUGCCCAACCCCGGGACUGCCCUUGGA
rnacentral:rRNA from 1 species